UACAGAGGUCUCAAGCGUUGUUCGGAUUCAUUGGGCGUAAAGGGUGUGUAGGUGGCGCGCUAAGUCGGGUGUGAAAUUUCGGAGCUUAACUCCGAAACUGCAUUCGAUACUGGCGUGCUUGAGGACUGGAGAGGAGACUGGAAUUCGAUUGUGUAGCAGUGAAAUGCGUAGAGAUCAUGAGGAAGACCAGUGGCGAAGGCGGGUCUCUGGACAGUUCCUGACACUGAGACACGAAGGCCAGGGGAGCAAACGGG
rnacentral:rRNA from 1 species